GAAUGAGUGAAUCAAUGAUGCCUU
rnacentral:piRNA from 1 species